GAUGAACGCUGGCGGCAUGCCUAAUACAUGCAAGUCGAGCGAACAGACGAAGCUCUCGCCCGGCUGCCGUUACCGACGGACGAGUAAGUAACACGUGGCUAACCUGCCUAUAAGACUGACGUCACUUCGCGAAACCGAAGCCCAUACCCGAUCUUAUAUUGAACCGCAUGGUUCCAUAGACCAAGACCGUUCUGCUGACACUUAUAGAGAGUUGCGCGUCGGAUUAGCUAGGUGGUGAGGUAACGGCAUACCAAGGCGACGAUGCGUAGCCGACCUGAGAGGGUGAUCGGCCACACUGGAACUGCGACACGGUCCAGACUCCUACGGGAGGCAGCAGUAGGGAAUCUUCCGCAAUGGGCGAAAGCCUGACAGAGCAACGCCGCGUGAGUGAUGAAGGUCUUCGGAUCGUAAAGCUCUUUAAGUAGGGAAGAACAGAUGUGUGAGUAACUAUGCACGUCUUGACGGUACCUAAUCAAAAAGCCACGGCUAACUUCGUG
rnacentral:rRNA from 1 species